UUGAAACACCAAUUCCCGUACGAUCAUUGAAGUCAAGCAACUUCGAAUCUGGUCAAUACCUGGAUGGGUGACUGCUUGAGAAUACUAGGGGCUGUAAG